UGGGGAAUUUUGGACAAUGGGCGAAAGCCUGAUCCAGCCAUGCCGCGUGCAGGAUGAAGGCCUUCGGGUUGUAAACUGCUUUUGUACGGAACGAAAAGGUUUGACUUAAUACGUUGGACUCAUGACGGUACCGUAAGAAUAAGCACCGGCUAACUACGUGCCAGCAGCCGCGGUAAUACGUAGGGUGCGAGCGUUAAUCGGAAUUACUGGGCGUAAAGCGUGCGCAGGCGGUUAUGUAAGACAGAUGUGAAAUCCCCGGGCUCAACCUGGGAACUGCAUUAGUGACUGCAUAGCUGGAGUACGGCAGAGGGGGAUGGAAUUCCGCGUGUAGCAGUGAAAUGCGUAGAUAUGCGGAGGAACACCGAUGGCGAAGGCAAUCCCCUGGGCCUGUACUGACGCUCAUGCACGAAAGCGUGGGGAGCAAACAGG
rnacentral:rRNA from 1 species